rnacentral:rRNA from 1 species
GUAUCAGAAGUGCGAAUGCUGACAUAAGUAACGAUAAAGCGGGUGAAAAGCCCGCUCGCCGGAAGACCAAGGGUUCCUGUCCAACGUUAAUCGGGGCAGGGGGAGUCGACCCCUAAGGCGAGGCCGAAAGGCGUAGUCGAUGGGAAACAGGUUAAUAUUCCUGUACUUGGUGUUACUGCGAAGGGGGGACGGAGAAGGCUAUGUUGGCCGGGCGACGGUUGUCCCGGUUUAAGCGUGUAGGCUGGUUUUCCAGGCAAAUCCGGAAAAUCAAGGCUGAGGCGUGAUGACGAGGCACUACGGUGCUGAAGCAACAAAUGCCCUGCUUCCAGGAAAAGCCUCUAAGCAUCAGGUAACAUCAAAUCGU